GGUCUGGUGGUGUAGUUGGUUAUCACGUCAGUCUAACAGCUUCGAGAGACUCGCCUCUCUCUUGGCUAGCACACUGAAGGUCUCCGGUUCAAGUCCGGGCUAGAUCA